UGGCACUAUGGUAGCUUUGUUCUUACACCAAGAGUCCAUUCACCAUGGUUAGUAGUGCAGCACCAGAAUCUACAAAGAGGGACUUACUUCAUCAGCUAGUCUGGCAGCUGAGGAAUUAGAUGGGUCUGAUAUGGUGGGCUAUUCAGAAGUGAAAGCUUCCUUCCCUGACUGGUAAGGGAGACUUCGUACAUUUCAUUACGAUUGUAGGGGGUGUCUGGAACGGUUCCAAGUAAGUAAAAAGGUGUGGGAUUUAGUUGUGUUUGCUGGCUGUUUUCACGUGCAUAGCUGUAGCUAGAAAUGUAUUCUAUAAAACCAAAUAACCUGCAGCUCUUAGACAAAUGUUCGUUUUCCUAAGGUACUGGACUUUAAUCUGCUCAUUUUUCAGAGACUGUUCUGGAGACUAACACAGGAAAACAUACCCGGAAGCUUCCGCUUUUGAGAAUUGAACCAAUUUGAGCAUCCCCCAAAAUCUCACCUUGUAACCUUGCUGGCUUAGAUCAUGCUGGCUUACAGCUUUGGGUGAGCCUCCUUCCUCAGCACCUGGCUUGUCUCUUGGUUUUGAAAGGGGAAUUUCUGGCUUGAGGGUCAUGAGUACCUGACAAUCCUUUGGAAUUGUGUAUAAGGUUUCGUGCAUUUUUCCAGUCAAAGGAAGUUAGCUUUCAUCGGUUUCUCAGACUAGUCCAUGCCCUCAAAAAGGAGGCUGAGGAUUGAAACCAUCAAGAUUGAACAGUG
rnacentral:lncRNA from 1 species